CAACUAUCACACAUAAUAAGCCUCAUGUCUGAAAGCAGCCAGGGGAAGCUAGCUGGUGUAAAGUGAAAACAAAGAUAAAAAAGUCAGGUGUGAUCUGAAGGCUCAUUUCCUGAAGGAAGAACAACUUAUGAAAUCUGCUGAGGUUGUGGAUGGAAGUGUACUUUUUAAACCCAUGGUGGAAAUGGAGGCUGAAGAAAACGAGUGGCUGGAAGAUUUAAAUGAAGGCAUGGAGCAACGGUGUCUACAGGAAGAUGUGACGCAUGAAGGUGAUAUGGAAAAUCUACACCUUGAGAGUUCUCAGGCUGUUAAUAUUUCCUGCAUUUCAUGUGUCUGUCCCAAGCCUGAACCCUGAAAGCUUGAAGCAGGAGUUUUUUU